GACGUAGGGCGCGAGCGUUGUCCGGAUUUAUUGGGCGUAAAGAGCUCGUAGGCGGCUUGUCGCGUCGACCGUGAAAACUCACAGCUCAACUGUGGGCUUGCGGUCGAUACGGGCAGGCUAGAGUUCGGUAGGGGAGACUGGAAUUCCUGGUGUAGCGGUGAAAUGCGCAGAUAUCAGGAGGAACACCGGUGGCGAAGGCGGUUCUCUGGGCCUGUACUGACGCUGAGGAGCGAAAGUGUGGGGAGCGAACAGG
rnacentral:rRNA from 1 species